CCCGCACAAGCAGCGGAGCAUGUGGUUUAAUUCGAAGCAACGCGAAGAACCUUACCAGGGCUUGACAUGCCGUUGACCGGUCUAGAGAUAGAUCUUUAUCCUUCGGGGUACAGCGGACACAGGUGGUGCAUGGUUGUCGUCAGCUCGUGUCGUGAGAUGUUGGGUUAAGUCCCGCAACGAGCGCAACCCUUGUCUUUAGUUGCCAUCAUUAAGUUGGGCACUCUAAAGAGACUGCCGAUGACAAAUCGGAGGAAGGUGGGGAUGACGUCAAAUCAUCAUGCCCUUUAUGUCCUGGGCUACACACGUGCUACAAUGGUCGGUACAACGAGAAGCGAGCCAGCGAUGGCAAGCAAAUCUCUAAAAGCCAAUCCCAGUUCGGAUUGCAGGCUGCAACUCGCCUGCAUGAAGUCGGAGUUGCUAGUAAUCGCGGAUCAGAAUGCCGCGGUGAAUGCGUUCCCGGGUCUU
rnacentral:rRNA from 2 species